rnacentral:rRNA from 1 species
CCCACCGGCGACCGGCGCACGGGUGAGUAACACGUAUGCAACCUGGCCGCCACAGGGGGAUAACCCGCGGAAACGCGGCCUAAUACCCCGUGACGCCACCGGAGGGCAUCCUCCGGUGGCCAAAGGAGCGAUCCGGUGGCGGAUGGGCAUGCGGCGCAUUAGCUAGACGGCGGGGUGACGGCCCACCGUGGCGACGAUGCGUAGGGGUUCUGAGAGGAAGGCCCCCCACACUGGGACUGAGACACGGCCCAGACUCCUACGGAAGGCAGCAG